rnacentral:tmRNA from 1 species
GGGGUUGUACUGGUUUCGACGGGCUCACUGCAGAUGGAGAAGCUGUCCGUGGUCGGACACCACGUAAAAAGUUCGAUUUAAAAUUAAACGCUGAAGAUAAUUUAGCAUUAGCUGCCUAAGCGCAGCUCAUCGGUCUUAGCGCCCCGCCGCUAAGGUAGCCGGUGUCAUACCUGCGGGACACUCCGUUGUCAAAGCUUUGCGAUGACGGAAAAUCUAUGAAGCUACCAAAGAGCAUAGCCUGUUAGUGGGCGCUGCUUGGAGGGAAUGUUAAAACACUGACUAUGACAGUAGAAGUACAUUGAAUCUGGGUUCGGACCGGGGUUCGACUCCCCGCAGCUCCACUA